GCCAACGGCGCUAGCCACGCAGAAUGUACCGGGUACCCAUAAGAACACCGAAGUCAAGCUGCGUUGGCCACGGUUUAGCUGAAACCGGCUGACCGUGUGCUGUUGGCA
rnacentral:rRNA from 13 species